CCUACGGGAGGCAGCAGUAGGGAAUAUUGCUCAAUGGGGGAAACCCUGAAGCAGCAACGCCGCGUGGAGGAUGAAGGUUUUCGGAUUGUAAACCCCUUUUGUUAGAGAAGAUAAUGACGGUAUCUAACGAAUAAGCACCGGCUAACUCCGUGCCAGCAGCCGCGGUAAUACGGAGGGUGCAAGCGUUACUCGGAAUCACUGGGCGGAAAGAGCGCGUAGGCGGGAUAGCAAGUCGGGUGUGAAAUCCUAUGGCUUAACCAUAGAACUGCAUUUGAAACUGUUAUUCUAGAGUAUGGGAGAGGGAGGUAGAAUUCUUGGUGUAGGGGUAAAAUCCGUAGAGAUCAAGAGGAAUACUCAUUGCGAAGGCGACCUGCUAGAACAUAACUGACGCUGAUGCGCGAAAGCGUGGGGAGCAAACAGGAUUAGAUACCCUAGUAGUC
rnacentral:rRNA from 1 species